rnacentral:ncRNA from 2 species
CGGGCUCGCUGGGGGUGCUGACCCGUCGAUCCAUCGACGAGCCGGCUGAGAGAGUCCCUUCGAACCUGAUUGAGGUAAUCCUCGCGCAGGGAAGCGUCGUGCCGCGGAU